rnacentral:rRNA from 1 species
UUAAGCGACUAAGCGUACACGGUGGAUGCCCUGGCAGUCAGAGGCGAUGAAGGACGUGCUAAUCUGCGAAAAGCGUCGGUAAGGUGAUAUGAACCGUUAUAGCCGGCGAUGUCCGAAUGGGGAACCCAGUGCAAUUCGUUGCACUAUCGUUAACUGAAUACAUAGGUUAACGAGGCGAACCGGGGGAACUGAAACAUCUAAGUACCCCGAGGAAAAGAAAUCAACCGAGAUUCCCCCAGUAGCGGCGAGCGAACGGGGAGCAGCCCAGAGUCUGAAUCAGCUUGUGUGUUAGUGGAACGGUCUGGAAAGUCCGACGGUACAGGGUGAUAGUCCCGUACACCAAAAUGCACAGGUUGUGAACUCGAAGAGUAGGGCGGGACACGUGGUAUCCUGUCUGAAUAUGGGGGGACCAUCCUCCAAGGCUAAAUACUCCUGACUGACCGAUAGUGAACCAGUACCGUGAGGGAAAGGCGAAAAGAACCCCGGCGAGGGGAGUGAAAAAGAACCUGAAACCGUGUACGUACAAGCAGUGGGAGCACCUUCGGGUGUGACUGCGUACCUUUUGUAUAAUGGGUCAGCGACUUAUAUUCUGUAGCAAGGUUAACCGUAUAGGGGAGCCGCAGGGAAACCGAGUCUUAACUGGGCGUUAAGUUGCAGGGUAUAGACCCGAAACCCGGUGAUCUAGCCAUGGGCAGGUUGAAGGUUGGGUAACACUAACUGGAGGACCGAACCGACUAAUGUUGAAAAAUUAGCGGAUGACUUGUGGCUGGGGGUGAAAGGCCAAUCAAACCGGGAGAUAGCUGGUUCUCCCCGAAAGCUAUUUAGGUAGCGCCUCGUGAACUCAUCUUCGGGGGUAGAGCACUGUUUCGGCUAGGGGGUCAUCCCGACUUACCAACCCGAUGCAAACUACGAAUACCGAAGAAUGUUAUCACGGGAGACACACGGCGGGUGCUAACGUCCGUCGUGAAGAGGGAAACAACCCAGACCGCCAGCUAAGGUCCCAAAGUCAUGGUUAAGUGGGAAACGAUGUGGGAAGGCACAGACAGCCAGGAUGUUGGCUUAGAAGCAGCCAUCAUUUAAAGAAAGCGUAAUAGCUCACUGGUCGAGUCGGCCUGCGCGGAAGAUGUAACGGGGCUAAACCAUGCACCGAAGCUGCGGCAGCGACACUAUGUGUUGUUGGGUAGGGGAGCGUUCUGUAAGCCUGCGAAGGUGACCUGUGAGGGUUGCUGGAGGUAUCAGAAGUGCGAAUGCUGACAUAAGUAACGAUAAAGCGGGUGAAAAGCCCGCUCGCCGGAAGACCAAGGGUUCCUGUCCAACGUUAAUCGGGGCAGGGUGAGUCGACCCCUAAGGCGAGGCCGAAAGGCGUAGUCGAUGGGAAACAGGUUAAUAUUCCUGUACUUGGUGUUACUGCGAAGGGGGGACGGAGAAGGCUAUGUUAGCCGGGCGACGGUUGUCCCGGUUUAAGCAUGUAGGCUGGUUAUCCAGGCAAAUCCGGAUAAUCAAGGCUGAGGUGUGAUGACGAGGUACUACGGUGCUGAAGUAACAAAUGCCCUGCUUCCAGGAAAAGCCUCUAAGCAUCAGGUAACAUCAAAUCGUACCCCAAACCGACACAGGUGGUCAGGUAGAGAAUACCAAGGCGCUUGAGAGAACUCGGGUGAAGGAACUAGGCAAAAUGGUGCCGUAACUUCGGGAGAAGGCACGCUGGUGUGUAGGUGAAGUCCCUGCGGAUGGAGCUGAGACCAGUCGAAGAUACCAGCUGGCUGCAACUGUUUAUUAAAAACACAGCACUGUGCAAACACGAAAGUGGACGUAUACGGUGUGACGCCUGCCCGGUGCCGGAAGGUUAAUUGAUGGGGUUAUCCGUAAGGAGAAGCUCUUGAUCGAAGCCCCGGUAAACGGCGGCCGUAACUAUAACGGUCCUAAGGUAGCGAAAUUCCUUGUCGGGUAAGUUCCGACCUGCACGAAUGGCGUAAUGAUGGCCAGGCUGUCUCCACCCGAGACUCAGUGAAAUUGAACUCGCUGUGAAGAUGCAGUGUACCCGCGGCAAGACGGAAAGACCCCGUGAACCUUUACUAUAGCUUGACACUGAACAUUGAGCCUUGAUGUGUAGGAUAGGUGGGAGGCUUUGAAGCGUGGACGCCAGUCUGCGUGGAGCCAACCUUGAAAUACCACCCUUUAAUGUUUGAUGUUCUAACGUUGGCCCCUUAUCGGGGUUGCGGACAGUGUCUGGUGGGUAGUUUGACUGGGGCGGUCUCCUCCCAAAGCGUAACGGAGGAGCACGAAGGUUAGCUAAUCCUGGUCGGACAUCAGGAGGUUAGUGCAAUGGCAUAAGCUAGCUUGACUGCGAGCGUGACGGCGCGAGCAGGUGCGAAAGCAGGUCAUAGUGAUCCGGUGGUUCUGAAUGGAAGGGCCAUCGCUCAACGGAUAAAAGGUACUCCGGGGAUAACAGGCUGAUACCGCCCAAGAGUUCAUAUCGACGGCGGUGUUUGGCACCUCGAUGUCGGCUCAUCACAUCCUGGGGCUGAAGUAGGUCCCAAGGGUAUGGCUGUUCGCCAUUUAAAGUGGUACGCGAGCUGGGUUUAGAACGUCGUGAGACAGUUCGGUCCCUAUCUGCCGUGGGCGCUGGAGAAUUGAGGGGGGCUGCUCCUAGUACGAGAGGACCGGAGUGGACGCAUCACUGGUGUUCGGGUUGUCAUGCCAAUGGCACUGCCCGGUAGCUAAAUGCGGAAGAGAUAAGUGCUGAAAGCAUCUAAGCACGAAACUUGCCCCGAGAUGAGUUCUCCCUGAGACUUUAAGUCUCCUGAAGGAACGUUAAAGACGAUGACGUUGAUAGGCCGGGUGUGUAAGCGCAGCGAUGCGUUGAGCUAACCGGUACUAAUGAACCGUGAGGCUUAACCUU